GAAAUGCGAUAAGUAGUGUGAAUUGCAGAAUUUAGUGAAUCAUCGAAUCUUUGAAUGCACAUUGCGCCCUUUGGUAUUCCUUAGGGCAUGCCUGUUCGAGCGUCAUCUACACCCUCAAGCACAGCUUGGUGAUGGGCGCCUGUCCCGCCCCCCCGGGGGCCGCGGACUCGCCUCAAAUGCAUUGGCGGCCGGCGACCUGGCCUCGAGCGCAGCAGAAACGCGUACUCGGGGCCCGGGCGCCCGCUCCCAGAAGCCAACCCACCCAGUUUGACCUCGGAUCAGGUAGGGAUACCCGCUGAACUUAAGC
rnacentral:misc_RNA from 1 species